rnacentral:lncRNA from 1 species
UGAUGAGUUGAGCCGGCAGGCACCUAUUGGUGGCGAUUUUCCAGCAGUUCAGAAGCAGAAUGAUGUACACAGGGCCUUCAAGAGGGAAUUGAAAACUAAAGAACCUGUAAUCAUGAGUACUCUGGAGACUGUGAGAAUAUUUCUGACAGAGCAGCCUUUGGAAGGACUAGAGAAACUCUACCAGGAGCCCAGAGAGCUGCCUCCUGAAGAAAGAGCUCAGAAUGUCACUCGGCUCCUACGAAAGCAGGCUGAAGAGGUCAACACUGAAUGGGACAAAUUGAACCUGCACUCAGCUGAUUGGCAGCGAAAAAUAGAUGAGGCUCUUGAAAGACUGCAGGAACUUCAGGAAGCUGCCGAUGAACUGGACCUCAAGUUGCGCCAAGCUGAAGUGAUCAAGGGAUCCUGGCAGCCAGUGGGAGAUCUCCUCAUUGACUCUCUCCAAGAUCACCUUGAAAAAGUCAAGGCACUUCGGGGUGAAAUUGCACCUCUUAAAGAGAAUGUCAAUCAUGUCAAUGACCUUGCGCAUCACCUGACCACAUUGGGCAUUCAGCUCUCACCUUAUAACCUCAGCAUACUGGAAGAUCUGAAUACCAGAUGGAGGCUUCUGCAGGUAGGCAUG